ACAGGAAAAAAAACAUAUACCUCUAUUCAUCUUCCUCCCUUCCUCCUCUCUCUGCUCUCUCUCUCUCUCUGUUCUAUUGGGCAGCGCUGUGAACCCCGCUUAGCUCCGCUCGCGAAAUCCGUCCAGCAUCGCUACUUGCAAACUCUGUCCUGCACACUACACCACCUUUGUCUUCCUCCCCAGCCUUGUGACCUCACCAUUCUUCUUAGAUUGUCUUCACCCAUAAAACCACCAUCAACCAAGGGCUCAUUGGGGCUUGUCUAUUGAAGAUCGAUUCUUUCUCCUAAUUUUUCUUUGAGCGAUUAAAUUUUUAGGGUAGGCCCAUGCCAUUUUUCCAUACUAGCGAGGUUGAGUGUAAUUUGAGUAAUUGCCAAGGGAGGUCCGUAUUUGUCCUUUAUUUAUUUAUUUCAAAGCCUUAUUAAGGCUUUAACAAAUAAGGAGGUAUAUGAUGCAUUGGAAGUUAUAGUGGUACUUUUGAUUUGUAUACAUGGGUGGUGCCCUCUAGGUACUGUUCUUCUUAAAUAAAAUUUACUUCUAAUUGAAGAAAAAAUAGUCUGUGAAUUCAUAAUUUUUUCCGGUUACCACUCGGUAUAGGAUUCUUGGAUGAGAGGGCAGGUGGUUGUGCUUCAUAACCUUUAGGGCUCAUAGAUCUUGUGGAUUCUCUACUUGUACCAUGCUUAGUUUUUAAUCUUUUAUACAUUUGGUAUAAGCUUUAGAUAAGGAUGUGGGUUGUGUGUUAGAUAACUUGAAAAUCAGUUCAUAAAUUUUUUCUUUUUGUGAGAUACCUUAUGUACAUGAAUCCUAAUAUAAAUAUGGAAAUAAGGGCUAGGGUGUUCCCUGUAACUGACGUGUUGUGCCUGUCUUAUAGCGUUUCGAAAAAUUGGCAAGGGGCUCUACAUUGGUGCCCAGGUGCAAUGCAAAAUAGACAAGGGUUCCUGCGGUUUUCUAGGCAGCGGUUAAAGAACUUGGCCCAGAAUUGUAGUACUUGGAAUAUAGGAUCAUUAAUAGGUAAAACCAUGUAAUUAAUAGAUAUUAUGAUUGGAAGGAAAUUUCGUAUAACAUGUUCACAAGAAACUUAAGUGGCUAGGUGAAAAUACGAAGGAAAAAAAAUUGGGUUUGAAAUUUAUUAUACUGGUCAAGAUGGAAAUAAACAUGGUGUAUGAAUAAUUGCAGCUAAACAUAAGGUAGUAAGAAUCACAAAAACAGGAGAUAGAGAUAAAAAUAAAAAUAAAAAAAUUUAUAAUUGGAGAAAUUAUGGUUAAUGUGAUUAGUGUCUAUACACCCCAAAUAGGGUUGGAGGAAUAUAUUAAAAAGACAAUUUUGGGAUCAUCUGGAUGAGUUGAUGCAACAAAAACUUGUUGAAGAGCAGAUAACUAUAGUUUUAUGACAGAAUUGUGCAUUGUCAAGUAAGUCCACCCAAUUUUUCUAUUUUACUAUAACAUAAUGUCUCAGAUAUUCCUCCAACAAUGCAUUCAUCCACUCCGCUUGACCAUUAGUUUGUAAGUGGUUUGCUGUGGAAAAUUUCAACUCUGACUUGUUCAGAUUUGAAUAACUUUGUCUAGAACUGCUAGUAGAGCAAGUGUCCCAAUCACUCACAAUAUCCUCUAGUACUCCAAGAGAUUUUAAUUAGGUUAAGUGUAUGAAAAGUGAGCAUUUGAGGGUGAUAGUGCCAGAUGAGAAGAAUAAGGAAAUAUGAAACAAGUGUUGAUGGAACUGGAGAAUAAAAGUUUUAUUGUCAACUACGGCUUCGUUUUAGAACAUACUAUUUUAGUAAUUUUUUGGUUUUUUAUGAAAAGAUGUGCAGAAAAGUAAAGAGAGCGAUGUGACAAUUUAUAGUGACUUUUUGACUAAAAUUGAAAGUUGCCAAACGAGGCCUUAGAGUUUGAAGUGGAAUUUGAAUUGAAGAAGAUGAAAUCAAGUAACCUAGUAGGACCAGAUUUUAUCCUUAUUGAGGCUUAAAAAUGCUAAGGUAAGAAAGGAGUAUCUUGGUUAAUAAUUUUUUUAAUAAGAUUCUAAUGACGAUAAUGCUUGACAAUUGAAAAAAAUAUUCUAGUGCUUGUGUAUAAAUAUAAUAUAGAUAUCCAAAAUUGCAACAACUAUAGAGGCAUUAAGUUAAUUAAUCAUACAAUGUAAUUAUAGGAGAGAGUGGUUUGAACAUUGCUUAAGAGCUACAACAUUAUUAGAGAAUCAAUUUAGAUUUAUGCCUGAUAGAUCAACCAUUGAGAUGGUUUUGUCAUGUAAAACGAAUACCUAUUUGAUGCAAUGGUAACGAAGAAAGAUAUGAUCACUAUAAAUGGAAAUGUUAGGGGGAGAGGAAGACAUAAAUUGAUGUGGGAUGCGGUAGUAAAAAAAGAUGUGAAUAUACCCUUUGGUAGAGUAGAAUGGUGAAAAAAGAUUUGUGUAGCCGAUCCCACUUGAUUGGGACACAAGGCUUAGUUUGUUUUGUUUUGGUUUGGUUUGUCUUGAUUUGGCUGUGAGUUUGGUUAAUAUUAUUUUGGAAAUUUGUAUGUUUAGUGGCUUAGCUCUUGUGAGUUUUUGUAAUAAUCUGUGUGAAUAUGUAGAUGUUCUUUACAGCAAAUGACCUGCAAUCUAAUCUCCUAUGAGGUAUUUCCUUCUUUACUGGUAUAUGUUGGUAUAUUGAACCAGCUUUCUCACAUAAAACACCUUUUGCACAAACUCAUGCGGCUUACUUGUUAGGGUUUAGGUCUUGUGUAUAUUUGAUGGGUUUCUAUUCCAAGAUAGGAGAAUAUUUACUUCGUUUUGUUUCAAAGUAUAGUCUUUUCUUUAAAUUUGGCACUUUCUUGACUGGGUUUUCUACUGCAGGUUUCACGUGGACAAAAUGUCUUCGGUCCAUGUUUAUGUGAGACUGCACAAGGGUCAGACAAUUGAUGAUAUAUCUGAAGGUCUUUUGGAAGAUUGUGCUCAACUAGUCAAGAUUUCGUGAAGACAGUUUUGUGACAUCUUUAGG